rnacentral:rRNA from 1 species
AAACCAGCACCUCAAGUGGUCAGGAUGAUUAUUGGGCCUAAAGCAUCCGUAGCCUGCUCUGUAAGUUUUCGGUUAAAUCUGUACGCUUAACGUACAGGCUGCCGAGAAUACUGCAGAGCUAGGGAGUGGGAGAGGUAGACGGUACUCGGGAGGAAGUGGUAAAAUGCUUUGAUCUCUCGAUGACCACCUGUGGCGAAGGCGGUCUACCAGAACACGUCCGACGGUGAGGGAUGAAAGCUGGGGGAGCAAACCGGAUUAGAAACCCCGGUAGUCC